AAUUCUAUAGUAUAUGUAGUACAUUUAAUUUCCAAUUAAAAGGUCUAAGGGAUUA
rnacentral:tRNA from 1 species